rnacentral:tRNA from 1 species
GGGGGUGUAGCUCAGGGGUACAGCAUGUGCCUAGCAUGCACAAGGCCCUGGAUUCAAUCCUCAGCCCUA